GAUGAACGCUGGCGGCGUGCCUAAUACAUGCAAGCAGAACGCUGAAGGAGGAGCUUGCUCUUCUGGAUGAGUUGCGAACGGGUGAGUAACGCGUAGGUAACCUGCCUGGUAGCGGGGGAUAACUAUUGGAAACGAUAGCUAAUACCGCAUGACAACAGUUAUUGCAUGAUAACUGUUUAAAAGGGGCAACUGCUCCACUACCAGAUGGACCUGCGUUGUAUUAGCUAGUUGGUGAGGUAACGGCUCACCAAGGCGACGAUACAUAGCCGACCUGAGAGGGUGAUCGGCCACACUGGGACUGAGACACGGCCCAGACUCCUACGGGAGGCAGCAGUAGGGAAUCUUCGGCAAUGGACGGAAGUCUGACCGAGCAACGCCGCGUGAGUGAAGAAGGUUUUCGGAUCGUAAAGCUCUGUUGUAAGAGAAGAACGAGUGUGAGAGUGGAAAGUUCACACUGUGACGGUAUCUUACCGGAAAGGGACGGCUAACUACGUG
rnacentral:rRNA from 1 species